CCCUUAGAUGUCCUGGGCCGCACGCGCGUUACACUGAUGCAUUCAACGAGCUUAUAACCUUGGCCGAGAGGCCUGGGCAAUCUUGUUAACGUGCAUCGUGAUAGGGAUAGAUUAUUGAAAUUAUUAAUCUUGAACGAGGAAUUCCUAGUAAACGCAGAUCAUCAAUCUGCAUUGAUUACGUCCCUGCCCUUUGUACACACCGCCCGUCGCACCUACCGAUUGGAUGGUCCGGUGAAGCCUCGGGAUUGUGGUUCUUGCCGCUUUAUUGUGGCGUGACCGCGAGAACUUGUCUAAACCUUAUCAACUAGAGGAAGGUGAAGUCGUAACA
rnacentral:rRNA from 1 species